AACCCGGGGAAACUCGGGGCUUAAUACCAAAUGUGUUCACUCCUUCUAAGGGGAGUGAGGAAAGGAAGCUUCGGCCUCCGCAUUGAGAUGGGCCCGCGGCCCAUUAGCUUGUUGGUGAGGUAACGGCUCACCAAGGCUUCGAUGGGUAGCUGGUCUGAGAGGACGAUCAGCCCAACACUGGGACCUGAGACACGGCCCAGACUCCUACGGGAGGCAGCAGGUGGGGAAUCUUGCACAAUGCGCGAAAGCGUGAUGCAGCAACGCCGCGUGGGGAAGACGGCCUUCGGGUUGUAAACCCCUUUCAGUUGGGACGAAGCUUCGUCGGUGAAUAGCCGGUUGGAGUGACGGUACCUUCAGAAGAAGCCCCGGCUAACUACGUG
rnacentral:rRNA from 1 species